GAUGCAGGCUCACAAACCACAAGGUCAUGAGCUGAGCCAAAGUUGGACACUUAACCGACUAAGUCUCCUAGGCGCCCCAUUCUGAUUUUCUUAAUACUAUUUUCUUUCCUCCAGCUUACUUUAUUUUAAGAGUACAGUGAAUAAUACAUAAAACAUACAGAUAUUUAUUAAUCGACUAGCUAUGUCAUUGGUAAGGUGGGUAAGUUUGGGGGGAGUCAAAAACUAUACAUGAAUUUUCGACUGUACAGGUGAUCAGCUCCCCUAACCCUGUGUUGCUCAAGGGUCAACCUGUACAGUGUAAUAAGUAUACACAUAUAUAUUUUUUAUGUUAUACAUUUAUAUAUUUUAAUGACCAUUCUGGCUACUGCAUGGAAAGUGUAUUGUAAGGGACCAUUAGUGGGGAGA